CUCCCCCUUCGGAGCUCACCCGUUUUAAGUUACGCAGGCAACUAUUUAUUGAGUUUGCCUCAUCCUGGUCUUUGAGACCAUUAUGACCUCAUAAUAUGGUUACAACAAGCGAGUACACACAGUUUCUGCUUGAUACCCGCUUCAUUGGCUUCGGGAAGUCCGAGGAGAUAAGUCCUUGUUUGGGGAGAGACCGUGGUGUGAAAUUCGCCGGACUACAUAUGGAGAAAGGGAAAACAAGAGUCUAAUAAAGAGAGCCUCAAGCUAGUCCAUUUCCUGAGCUGCAAAGGGAAAACUGAAGCCUGGGCAUGAUGGCUAAACCUAGAACCCCAGCAACUGGGGAAGCAGAUGCAGAAGGAUCCUGAGCUGUGGGCCAGCCUCGGCUACAUGAUGAGACUGAUUCUGGUAGGUAGCCACUGAAGAUGGAUCCUUCCCUCCUAAUCAGCUUUGGAUUGCGUCUCCUGUUUCCCUGGAAACACUAGAACUGGAUGUGUCACAAGUGCCUCUCCCUAAGAGUCAAAUAUCGCCGGGAGGUGGUGGCACACGCCUUUAAUCCCAGCACUCGGGAGGCAGAGCCAGGCGGAUCUCUGUGAGUUCGAGGCCAGCCUGGUCUACAGAGUGAGACCCAGGAAAGGCGCAAAGCUACACAGAGAAACCCUGUCUCGAAAAACAAAAAAAAAAAGAGUCAAAUACCAGGGCAGGUGAGGUGGCUAAGGGCACAAAGGUGCCUGGGCUCGUGGUGAAUGGAGAAAAUGACUCCUGGCAAGUUGUCCUCUGAAGGUGUGUGUGUGUGUGUGUGUGUGUGUGUGUGUGUGUGUGUGUGUGUGUGUGUGUGUGUGUGAGAGAGAGAGAGAGAGAGAGAGAGAGAGAGAGAGAGAGAGAGAGAGAGAGAGGAUAAAAACCUUUUUAAGAUGUAAAAUAGCAUAUGAGAAGGCAGAGGCAUCAGUACUCUGUUGAGCCCCUUUUAGGGAAAGCUAAUUUCUCCAGGUCAAAAGAAGAGACUCUCUGGCCUUGGGUAGAACAUUCCAUCCUGCUCUGCCCCGAGCACUAGAACAUUACACACUGUUGCCGCCUCCCUUAGAAUUUAAUCCAACUGGACGCUGAUCAUAACUUUUCUGUUUAUCUCUUCUUCAGACACCAGCCCAGUCCUAAGCAUGCUUGCCCUGACGCUCUAGUGCCUGACUCCACUUUCCUCUCCAUUUUCUUCCUCUCGGUAGCUGUAGAGAUGUACACCUUGACUGCCCUGGUUUCCAGUUGUUGUUGUUUCAAACUAAGAAAGUAGUCCUUGAGCUUAAAAUUAAGAAGGAAAGCCGGGCGGUGGUGCACACACCUUUAAUCCCAGCACUCGGGAGGCAGAGGCAGGUGGAUCUCUGUGAGUUUGAGGCCAGCCUGGGCUACAGAGCGAGAAUCAGGAAAGUCACAAAGCUACACAGAGAAACCCUGUCUCGGGGAAAAAAAAAAAAAGAAGGAGGAAAAAAAGGAGGGGGAUCUAACUGGGCCUGACAGUCACCUGAGGAACACAGAUUCACUUGUAGACAAAAUAAGAAAAUGUGGCAGGAAUAAUUAUCCCUUUAAGUCAGUGGUUCUGAACCUUCCUAACGCUGUGACCCUUUAAUAGUUUCUUAUAUUGUGGUGAUCCACAACCAUAAAAUUAUUUUCGUUGCUACUUCAUAUCUGUAAUAUUGAUACUGUUAUGAAUCAUAGUGUAAACAUCUGUGUUUUCUGAUGGUCUUAGGUGACCCCUGUGAAAGGAACCCCCAAAGGGUCGAGACCCACAGCUUGAGAACCACUCCCUCAGAGACCAUGUGGCUCCAAAGCCCCUCCUUCAGCCCAGUUGUGUGCAGACCUUCAUUGCUAAGCCUGCCAGAUUUUCUGAGUUUUAACUCAAAAAGCAUAACUUUGCCAUUUCCUCCUUUCACCUCUCAUUUGAAUGCCAGCCAAAAUUCUGAGCGUAGUCAUCUCAAUACCCCUGGCUCUGUUUCCCGGGAGGAUUCCCUCCCUUUUUUCUACAGUUUGCAGACCACCAUUUCUGACUCUUAGUUAGGUUCUUAUUGCUGUGCUGAGACACCAUGACCACGGCAACUCCAUUAAAGGAAACAGUUAAUCGGGGUGGCCUGCUUACAGUUUAGAGGUUCAGUCCAUUAUGAUCAUGAGGAGAACAUGGCCGUGUGCAGGCAGACAUGGUUGUUGGAGCAGAGAGCUACAUCUUGCAGGCAACAGCAAGUUGACUGACAACCACACUGAGUGGAGCUUGAGAAAAAGAGACCUCAAAGUCGGCUCCCACAGUGACACACUCCUCCAACAAGGCCACGCCUACUUCAACAAGGCCGCGCCUCCUAAUAGUGCCACUCCCUUUGGGGGCCAUUUUCUCUCAAACCACCACACUGACCCUAACUCAAAACUUUCUUCCUCUUCUCCAUCACCCUCCUCCUGGCAGCUACCAAGAUUUACAGCUUGCUGGCCAUAUUGUUUUUCUCCCAUAUGCUAAUUAAAUGAUCCUUCUGAGCUUCCUUCUAAGUUAAUUUGAGACUUAGAACUCCCAGAAGGGGGCUGGAGAGAUGGCUGAGCAGUUAAUUCCAGUUCCAGGAAAUCUGGUAUCCUCACACAGACAUAUAUGCAGGCAAAACACCAAUGCACAUAAAAUAAAGAUAAAUUAUUUAAAAAAAACCAAACAAACAAAAAAAGAACUCCCCUGGUAACAAUUCCAGAAACAACCAUCAACAGCAACAUCAUCAAAAGAAAAAAAAAAAAAGAGGAAAUCUAGGGAUAUACUCAAUACUAGGUAAUAGGUUCUUAACUUAGGAUCUGUAGAUGAACUUCAGGGGUUCAAAGUUUAUGAGAGUGGGCUGUGGAGUACAGCUCAGUGGUACAGUAUUGGUAUAGUAUAUACCAGACCCUGGGUUUCAUGCUCAGCAACCUCUCAAAAACAAAACGGGGGGGGGGGGGGGGGGG